UUUGGAAAAAGAAUACACUAUGAUGGAGGUGGAUAGUGUCCAUUCUACACUUGAAAAGUUGUCCAUUCCACCUUUAUAUUCGCCAGGCGACUAUAUUAAUCGAAUGAGAAAAGCGAUAUCAACCCAAUCCUAUACAAUUAAUCAUCUUAAAUACAGUUUUUUCAAAAAUUAUGAGGCUGUUCCAAGCAAUUACAACAAUAUUUGUUCUGGUAAAAAAGCUGGAGAUCCUACAGUGACUGAUAUAAAAAAGACUGUUAUACAAAAACGGUGAUACAAUGCAUAAAUUGCGACAUACGGGAAAUUGGACUCUACUUCCACAAAGAAG
rnacentral:lncRNA from 1 species